rnacentral:rRNA from 1 species
CCAGUAGUCAUAUGCUUGUCUCAAAGAUUAAGCCAUGCAUGUCUAAGUAUAAACGCCUUAUACUGUGAAACUGCGAAUGGCUCAUUAAAUCAGUUAUAGUUUAUUUGAUAGUACCUUUACUACAUGGAUAACCGUGGUAAUUCUAGAGCUAAUACAUGCGAAAAAUCCCGACUUCUGGAAGGGAUGUAUUUAUUAGAUAAAAAACCAACCGGGGCAACCCGUCUUUUGCUUGGUGAUUCAUAAUAACUUCUCGAAUCGUAUGGCUUCUACGCUGACGAUGGUUCAUUCAAAUUUCUGCCCUAUCAACUUUCGAUGGUAAUGUAGUGGAUUACCAUGGUUGUAACGGGUAACGGAGAAUUAGGGUUCGGUUCCGGAGAGGGAGCAUGAGAAACGGCUACCACAUCUAAGGAAGGCAGCAGGCGCGCAAAUUACCCAAUCCCGACACGGGGAGGUAGUGACAAGAAAUAACAAUACAGGGUCCUAAACGGUCUUGUAAUUGGAAUGAGUACAAUUUAAACCCCUUAACGAGGAACAAUUGGAGGGCAAGUCUGGUGCCAGCAGCCGCGGUAAUUCCAGCUCCAAUAGCGUAUAUUAAUGUUGUUGCAGUUAAAAAGCUCGUAGUUGGAUUUUGGGCUUGUUCAGCCGGUCGCACCGCAAGGUGUGUCGUGGGGGUGGGGUGGGGAGGGGGGGGUUCGCCCCCUCAGCCCCGUCCCAUCCUCCUACUGGCUGGGCUUGCCUCUCUCUACCUCCUUCUAAAGACCCAGGGUGCUCUUCACCGGGCGUCCUGGGGAUUUAGGACUUUUACUUUGAAAAAAUUAGAGUGUUCAAAGCAGGCUCAUCUUCGCUUGAAUACAUUAGCAUGGAAUAAUGAAAUAGGACUUUGGUUCUAUUUUGUUGGCUUCUAGGACCGAAGUAAUGAUUAAUAGGGAUAGUUGGGGUGGUUAGUAUUUAAUUGUCAGAGGUGAAAUUCUUGGAUUUAUGAAAGACUAACUUCUGCGAAAGCAUUCCACAAGGAUGUUUUCAUUAAUCAAGAACGAAAGUUAGGGGAUCGAAGAUGAUCAGAUACCGUCGUAGUCUUAACCAUAAACUAUGCCGACUAGGGAUCGGUGGAUGUUAUUUUUCAUGACUCCAUCGGCACCUUACUGAGAAAUCACAAGUCUUUGGGUUCCGGGGGGAGUAUGGUCGCAAGGCUGAAACUUAAAGGAAUUGACGGAAGGGCACCACCAGGAGUGGAGCCUGCGGCUUAAUUUGACUCAACACGGGGAAACUCACCAGGUCCAGACAUGGUAAGGAUUGACAGAUUGAGAGCUCUUUCUUGAUUCUAUGGGUGGUGGUGCAUGGCCGUUCUUAGUUGGUGGAGUGAUCUGUCUGGUUAAUUCCGAUAACGAACGAGACCUUAACCUGCUAAAUAGUUACGCGAACUCAGCCCUGGGGAAGGGGUGGGGGGGUUUCGGCCUCCCCUCCUCGCUUCCCAGGGCGGUUCUGCGGUUUUCAACAACUUCUUAGAGGGACUGUCGGUGUUUAACCGACGGAAGUUUGAGGCAAUAACAGGUCUGUGAUGCCCUUAGAUGUCCUGGGCUGCACGCGCGCUACACUGAUGAAGUCAGCGAGUUUUAUCACACCUUGUUCGGAAGGACAUUUUUCUGGGUAAUCUUCUGAAACUUCAUCGUGCUGGGGAUAGAUCAUUGCAAUUAUUGAUCUUCAACGAGGAAUUCCUAGUAAGCGCGAGUCAUCAGCUCGCGUUGAUUACGUCCCUGCCCUUUGUACACACCGCCCGUCGCUACUACCGAUUGAAUGGUUUAGUGAGAUCUUUGGACCGGCGCAACGCAGCUGUCUGACAGCAGCGAUGCACUGGGAAGCUGAUCAAACUUGAUCAUUUAGAGGAAGUAAAAGUCGUAACAAGGUUUCCGUAGGUGAA